AUUGAACGCUGGCGGCAUGCCUUACACAUGCAAGUCGAACGGUAACAGGUCUUCGGAUGCUGACGAGUGGCGAACGGGUGAGUAAUACAUCGGAACGUGCCCGAUCGUGGGGGAUAACGCAGCGAAAGCUGUGCUAAUACCGCAUACGAUCUACGGAUGAAAGCGGGAGACUCGCAAGACCUCGCGCGGACGGAGCGGCCGAUGGCAGAUUAGGUAGUUGGUGGGAAUAAAGCUUACCAAGCCGACGAUCUGUAGCUGGUCUGAGAGGACGACCAGCCACACUGGGACUGAGACACGGCCCAGACUCCUACGGGAGGCAGCAGUGGGAAUUUUGGACAAUGGGCGCAAGCCUGAUCCAGCCAUGCCGCGUGCAGGAUGAAGGCCGUUCGGGUUAGUAAACUGUCUUUUGUACGGAAACGAAAAAGCUCUCUCUAAUACAGGGGGUGAAUGACGGUACCGUAAGAAUAAGCACCGGCUAACUACGUG
rnacentral:rRNA from 1 species